UCUUAAAACUUUAGUUGCUAUUCUCAGCAUUACGUGGCUGUAAAUAUGAAUGGGCUGAUCACGUCUCGUCGUCACAACUGAUUCCACGUACAGUACAUUAGUCGCAGCGUAAAGGUGUGGUCACGUCCUGAAGAACCAGAGCACCACCAUGUCUAGCCCAGCAGUGCUUGUAACAACAGAAACACUUCCUCCUGGAACAUGCACUGUCUGCAGAAAAGGCAAAAUAAAAGAUAGUGCCUCAUGCUGCACAUGGAUUACC